UUUCUUCUCUAUUACACUAUAUCAUUUUAUGCUGGUAGUUUACCAUCUUGGUCAUUUCAUAUAUGCCGUUAUUUGUAAGCAUUUAUCUUGCUGUGGAUUGAGGGUUCGGGGUAGAAUUUAAUUUGGUGGCUUCUGACCUGUAACUUCUCCUGUUAUGUUUAACUUUGAAAUGCUUUCAAACAAUUUGGCUUGUGAGCUAUAAAUUAAUCGACUUUUUUUCGUUCUGGGCCUGAUUACUGAGCCGGGAGGGAAAAUGAAGAAAGAAUCUCAGCACCGAUUAAGCUCAUUUUUACUACUGCUUCCGUUGGUACAGCCAGAGACGAACUCAAACAUUGUCCCCCGAUCUAUUAUUUCAUGAUGGAAUUGAACUGCUAGGACAAUUUGAAUGAUUACGUUCAUCAUUCAAAUGGUAAAAUUCCAUUGCAAAAUGCAGAGCCUAAUUCUAGAAUGCUCUACUUAAUAUUUUCCAAUAAAUGUUGUAUUUGAAAUUUUAGAUUUGAUUAAAAAUAAGGAGUAACCACCACCCUCUUGUUAGAGUUUAAAUGUGAGGUGUGAGAAAAUGGUAAAAAAUUGUGGAAUAAAACUGUUGUGUGGAUAAAUGGUGCAUAAGAUCUUGUGAGGUGCUUGCUUUAGCUGUAUUAUGCUGCAAAUUUAUUGUAUUUGAUACUUGUAUCAUUGAAUCAGCAUGUUCAAGCUAAUGCUCAUUUCGAGCGAAUGUUCACUUCUCUCAUUUAUGUGAUUAGGGUUUAAAAAUAGAUGAAUAUCUUUAGUUUUUCUAGUGUAAUUUGGGCUGGGUGCAGG
rnacentral:misc_RNA from 1 species